rnacentral:rRNA from 1 species
GCGGCGGAUGGGUGAGUAUCACGUGGGCAACCUGCCUGUAAGAUUGGGAUAACUCGCGGAAACGUGAGCUAAUACCGAAUGAAGUCUUUCACCGCCUGGUGAAAGGAUGAAAGAUGGCUUUUAGCUAUCACUUACAGAUGGGCCCGCGGCGCAUUAGCUAGUUGGUGGGGUAAAGGCCUACCAAGGCGACGAUGCGUAGCCGACCUGAGAGGGUGAUCGGCCACACUGGGACUGAGACACGGCCCAGACUCCUACGGGAGGCAGCAGUAGGGAAUCUUCCGCAAUGGACGAAAGUCUGACGGAGCAACGCCGCGUGAGUGAUGAAGGUCUUCGGAUCGUAAAACUCUGUUGUCAGGGAAGAACAAGUUGUGUUCUACCAGGACAUGACCUUGACGGUACCUGACCAGAAAGCCCCGGCUAACUACGUGCCAGCAGCCGCGGUAAUACGUAGGGGGCAAGCGUUGUCCGGAAUUAUUGGGCGUAAAGCGCGCGCAGGCGGUCCUUUAAGUCUGAUGUGAAAGCCCACG